UUGUGUGUGUCUGUGUUUGUGUGUGUGAGAGAGACACACACACGGGGUCAGAGGGGCGUCGAUCCGGUUGUUCUAGAAUCGAGGGUUGCCCGGGAGGGGCAGGGGCUCUAGGGGGCCUCGGCGGCGGCGGCGGCGGCGCUGGAGUUUUUUUACGGCCGCGGCUAGCCCCCGGCCGCGGCCGACACUCCGACGCUAUACCGCGCCAGGUCCGGAUCCAAGACCGAGCACCGCCCGACGCAGCGGGACGACGAGACCCGGAGGCAGCGCGUCGAGCAGCGGCAGCCGGCGGAGGAGCGGGAGAAGCCGGAGCGGCCGCCGCGCGGGCCGGGGAGCGGCGGCGGAACGAGCGGGGGCGGGGGCGGGGGCGGGGGUUCUUAGAUGUUUUCGUUACCAAUAGACUUCUAUAGGACGUUACCCCCAGAAUUAGUCUACGCAAGUCUCUAUACGCUGUACCACCGUCACCGUGCAAACGAUUUGGAGUGCUACCAACAAGGUCUUGAACUGUUCUCUAGUAAGACCCGACUAGUCUCGUUAAAACCGCUGUAUAAACUACACUCCGUAAAGUAAUGGAGUAAUUCUCUACUUCACGCGUAACAGUUUGCCGACGGUUUCUCCAAAUCAGGUUGUCUAAGCUCGUGAUGUGAACUGUACAGUGGACACUCAACCAGUCUACUCUUUAUAAUGAACGUGGUCUAGAGUGGUGAGAAGUCGUUUAUAUUUCAGUAGGUGAAAUUGUUCUGUCUACGAGCCAAUCGUUUAUUACCGUAGUCAUGACUCGAAGUUGAACAAUCUACGGCACAAUUAAAAGUACGAGACUUCAAAUGGGGAGUUUAACUCCGUGACCCCUUAUUUAACCAUGUCUUUGAAGCUCUGUUCCCUAGUAAACACCGUAACGUAAAUGCUAUACUCUACCUGUACGACCGUAAAAGACCAACGUUAGUACCGGAAUUAGGACUUCUUCGACUCCUUGAGUUUUCUUACUCUAUACGUAUAGGUACCACCUCUCUAUUUCUUUAACUAAGCUUUUGGUUCUCUAGUCUUCCUGAUACGGGUGAAUGCGGACUCCUCUGCAGUGACCAAAACUUUCGUGACCCGAAACUUUUCCUAUGAGAGUAUAUGUAACGACGACCACUUUAAAUGCCCCCUCUUUUCUCUAACUUUGGUAAUGCUCGACGAAAAGGUUUUGAACAUUCUUUUCUCUACGACGAUCUAAGUCUUGGAGACGCGGUCAAAGUUUUGGUGAGAAGAGUCUACCGACGUGAGCUAAAGUAACAUAGGUGACGAUCACUACAAAAGGAAGGAUGAAAACUACCAUUGUACCGCUUUGAACAACUUCCGGUGUCUUCCAAGGACCCAAAGGCUUUUUCGCACAACGGUCUGGCAGCCUUUGAUCAACUUGAAUAUCUGGACAUGUUGUUGUUCUGUUAAAGGACCCUCUUAAAAUGUAAAAGACAGGUUCUUCAAGUAUCUCCGGCACACCAGGUUGGCAGGACAGCAGCCUUUGAGCUUUUGUUCGGCUUCCUCCUCCUAAUGAAGAUGCGAUUGGGGGUGCUCACGGACCGGUUAAGUUCGGACACGUCACCUUCGUUCCUAUGUCAGUGACAUUCCACUCGUGUAAACGUCGGAGCGGACACGUUCAAUGACAAACACUACUAGGCGCCUGACUUCGGCCGUUCGUCCGUCUCAGGGGCUACUAGCAAAUUGGCUACAACCGUCACAAGACAACAUAUCGGGUCCAAAAAGAAGAAGAAAGAUAAGACGUUAGGUAAGUAAAUAAAACUUCGAACGGUUUUAUCCCUCCUCCGAAACACAUUUAAAAACAAGCAGCAAACGCGAUAACAAGUGACAACUAAUUUAAGUACUAAUAUAGCCUUCCCUAUACGUUAACGGUGCCACUUGUUGGCUCUCUGUAAAACCAAA
rnacentral:rRNA from 1 species